UCCGUAGGUGAACCUGCGGAAGGAUCAUUACAGAAAUAGGAGAAGGUUGCUUAACUGCAAUCCUUUUCUUUCUACACAUGUGUUUUUCUUUUUUUUGAAAACUUUGCUUUGGUGGGCCCACGGCCUGCCAGAGAUUAAACUCAACCAAAUUUUUAUUUAAUUGUCAACUUGAUUAACUAAUAGUCAAAACUUUCAACAGCGGAUCUCUUGGUUCUCGCAUCGAUGAAGAACGCAGCGAAAUGCGAUAAGUAAUAUGAAUUGCAGAUAUUCGUGAAUCAUCGAAUCUUUGAACGCACAUUGCGCCCUUUGGUAUUCCAAAGGGCAUGCCUGUUUGAGCGUCAUUUCUCCCUCAAACCUUCGGGUUUGGUGUUGAGCGAUACGCUGGGUUUGCUUGAAAGAAGGGCGGAGUAUAAACUAAUGGAUAGGUUUUUUUUUCCACUCAUUGGUACAAACUCCAAACAUUCUUCCAAAUUCGACCUCAAAUCAGGUAGGACUACCCGCUGAACUUAAGCAUAUCAAUAAGCGGAGGA
rnacentral:rRNA from 1 species